rnacentral:lncRNA from 13 species
CUCCUUGAUACGAGAGGAAGCCAGUAAAUGUCUGCCAGAUUAAAACAUGAACUAGAAAACACAGUUUGUUGAAAAACAGGAAGUGAAAGGCCACCCUACCAGGACCAAACCUGAGCCAGAGUGGGGGCAAGCUGGGAGAAAUCCAAAGGACUGCACGACGGCACUGGAAGAUCCAUUACCACGUCCCAAUGAGUCCUUACUUGUCAAAGAAGUUAAAACCUGUUUCUUGGCCAUCUGGCUGAACUUGCUGAUAACUAAGGCAACUGAAUAAAUACCCAGACCAGUGAAGUCUGUCUGAAGUAUCCACAUUUCACUUAUAUUGGGUGGCAUUCUACAGACAACAGUGAAAUUGUUCUUGCAAAGACAAACCUGUC